CGGGAGGAGCCGAGCGGAGCCGAACGGAUCCGGGAGGAGCCGAGCGGAGGCGAAUUGAGCCGAACGAACCCGAUCGGACGCCGGAGCCGAGCGGAGCCGAAUUGAGCCGAACGAACCCGAUCAGACCCCGGAGCCGAACGGAGCCGAAUUGAGCCGAACGAGCCCGAUCGCCCCCGCCAUGGCCACCCCCACGGAACCCGCGAUGGGAGAAGCCGCCCGGGCCAAGGAUCCCUUCAACUAUGAUUACGAGUCUCUCCGCUGGGCUGGGCUGGUUUUGGCCAUCGGGAUGUUCGUGUUCGGGAUCCUGGUGGCGCUGAGUAAGAAGUUCAAGUGCAAAAAGGCCGAACCCAGCCCCCCGGACCAACCGAAGACCCCAGCCCCCGCGGCCACCGCGUAGCUCCGCCCACUUCGCCGAGAGCCACGCCUCCUCCCGGACGCCUGGGUCCUUCCCGGACGCCUGGGUCCCUCCGGUGCAUGCGCGCCCCUUCCCCCCCACCCCCCACCAGCGAAACACAACGGGGGGGGGGGGGGGGGGAGUGGGGGGAGGGGAUGAAAUUCGGGGUCCCCCCCCACGCCCCCCCCGCCCCCACGGAGCCAAGGACCCCCCAGAAUGGGGGGGACCCCCCAAAAUCGGGGCCACCCCCCCCUUUGAAACGCACUUUCCAACCUUGGGGAUCCCCCCCCCCCCCCUCCCCAACCCAAGGGGCACCCCCAAAAAUCACGCCCCUCCCCCCUCCUAAUUUGGGCCCCUCCCCCAAAUGGGCGCGUGCUGGGGUGGGGGGAGGGGAAUUCGGGGGGUUCCCCCCCCCCCCCCCAAAAGUUGCUGCUCCCCCCGCGCACGGAAAUAAAGGAAACGUUUGAU